ACAUGGACGGCUCUCCUUCUGUCUCCCGUUGGUGUCUGGAGGGACUGCUGGUGGUUGCUGAUAGCUGGUGGUACCCUGCCCCACCUCAGCACCCACACCCCAACUAAACCCGCUUUUGCCUUGCCCAGGUACAUGCCAGAAGCCCUGGUGGGACCCAAGGCUCCGUCUGGCACCAGACCAGGAGGAGUACCACAGGAACGAAGAAGCGACACUGAGCUGCCCCGAGGGUUUCCAGCCACCCUUUACCCAUGUCAGAUGUGCAGGGGAAGUGCAGCCCAACAUUCAUGGCAAACCUGUGUACAUCGAGGAGUGGCUGGGAAAGGACCCGGGAGGUGCCUGGAUCCACAUUCGCUCCAAGGUGGAGUGCAUGGUGAAAUGCCAGAAGCCCCAGUGGGACACCAGGAUUCUCUUUGCCCCUGACCGUGGUUCCUACGACCUCAAUGAGACGCUGACACUGACAUGCCCUGUAGGGUACUGGUCAUCCAGCCCUGAGGUUGCCUGCAUGAAACUCAACCCAAGGCAACGCUUCCUGAUUCCUCAGAUCGGCUGGUUUGUGAAGGACAGCACGGGACAGUGGAAGCCUGUAGAGGGGAAUAUGACCUGUGUGGGUGAGUGAGUGAAGCAGCCACUCUGUUCUCCCCAGGCAGGGAAAGCGGUGCCAGAUACAGCCUACAGCCCUAAGGCACCAAGGCCCUGUGCUUGGGGUGGUGCGGGAAUGGUGUGGGUGUUCGCUGUGGAGAAAAGAGCUGCUAAUGCAGCAGGGUUUGUGUCUGUCCCUGUCAGAGUGAAAGGGAGCAGUCACAAAUCAGCUGCUAGGCCUGUGGUGGAGACUUAGAGGGACCACAAGCACCUGGCCUUGUCCUCUGCCAGCGUGUCUGGGAGCACCCCAGGCCCAGAGGAAAGUGCAGGCAGUGCCCAAAUGUCGUGGGGGAGAAGGCAGGAUGGGCUCGGCCUCUCGUUGCUGGGGACGUGGCAGUGAGGGAGGCCUGCACAGGGCUGGGAAGGGAAGGCAAGGCAAUGACCCUCUUCAAUGCUUCUUUCACAGAGGCCUUCCAGGUCAUGCCUGGGACCUUGGAGGUUUCCA
rnacentral:lncRNA from 1 species